UGUAUCUCACGGUAAAAGUCUGGUGCACCACAUAACACUGUGAUGUAGGACUAGUAGUGAAUGCUAGAGAUGGCUAAUAUAUACAUGACUGUAUUAAGCACCAGGUAACCGGUAGAGUGGAAGAUAGACUAAACUGUAAAUUGGAUGCGUGGUGUAAAUAAGGUACUAUACCAGUGUGGUAAUACACGCCAUAUAUAAGUACCACUGGCUAAGUAUCAAAUACGUGCAUUGAUUAAAUAAUUUACCUAGUAUUUAAAAGCCAGAGGGUAAUUGUAGCGGCAGGAUCAAGUGAGUGUAGAUGAAAUAUAACACAUAGAUACUUAUAUAAUCCUGUAGUAUAGACUGAUUCGCUGGCUGAUAAUCUGGCGGUAGCAGCAAGAAAAUCUAUAACGAGAAUAGCUGUCUGUGCCUUCGAGGGCACCUAUCUAGACAAGUAAGACUAAAUAACUAACUGCCGUCUAAACUGAUAAGAUGCUGGUUAGAUCAGGGUAUGCUGACAGCUAAAUCAACUAUCAAGAGAUUCUUAAAAAGAGGUAAGACUGUCUGUGCCUUCGAAGGCACCUAUCUGAAGACAAAUAUAAGUCUAGCUGACUGCCUCUAGGGAAGAACAAAAGGUCCGAUAAGUGACCCUUAUUACCAAGAUCCAACUAUCAAACUUAGUGAUAAAAACUUGAGGGCAAAAUACUUGGUAUAUCUGGGUAGGUAAGAGCCGCAGACUGGCGAAACUCACGUCGGGGCUCAUUCUAUUUUCCUGUCCUUAUUUACCAUUGAGUUACCUGGUGCUUAAUACAGCCUUACAUAUAUUAGCCAUCUCUAGCAUUCACUACUAGUCCUACAUCACAGUGUUAUGUGGUGCACCAGACUUUUACCGUGAGAUACAUACAAGUGCUAAUAUAAUUUGUAGCAACUGUUUGGCUACAGAGUUCCCCUCCAUUGGUAUCGACUCUCCACUAUAGUUGUAUCUUUAGCAUUGUAAAAACUCGAUCGGAUAUUUUCACCAUCCAGCUAUUCUUUACCCAGAUUGUGUCCGUUGUUAUGUUUUUCUCUCCCCCCACCCAUUAUCAAUUAGAACUAGGUUUAUUUAAUUUUUAGUAUAUUACAAAUAAACAUUUAAGUUUUACCUUUGUCUUGGGACAGAUUUCUACAGUAUCCAACCAAAGGUUACCCCCUCAUCUGUCCCUAAUGUACUACAUUUGGACUGUGUUUUGCUUCCUAUUUAUUAGUUAGCAUGAGAUCAAUCUCAUCCCUCUUGGAGAGGGCCUCUCCUCUCCAACCAUAGGAUCAACACUAUUGGGAUUGCCUUUUGCUUACCUUUUACAGCUAUCGACCAGAGACUGCACCUAUGCACUAACUUCUUUUCAUUAUUACAUAUUGCAACUUUAACUCUACUCUUUCCUAUCACUGCUCUGUCUUCACCACCUUACCCUUUGAAAAUAUGUACAAUUCUCGUCUCACCUCCGAUCAUGCUCGAUGUACCUUUUUCUAACACAAACACCUGCAUCGCCAUUCUAAGUGUGACCCAGUAGUUUCACAGUGCCUCGAUGAAUCACAAUGGGAGUUAUUGCUCUCAACAUUCCUCUAUAUCCAGUAAAAUAUAACAAAAUUAGAACUGACCUACAAUUUGCUCAUUCACUGAUAUAUGAUGCCAGAUGACAUAUUUUAUAUUUGCUUGACUUUAUGGUUUCUGAUGGAGGUUUCAUUCAUGGAAUCCAUAUUGCAUAUAUCCUGCAAGGUGCCUGAUUCCUUUACACUACAGGAGAUCCAGUCCCCCUUUAUGUAAAGAGCAGAGCCUCAAACUUGCCUAGCCAUGAGCUCUCCCUUCAUUUCCUUAUUUUUAUCAUUUCCAAUUGAAAGUAUGGUAUUUUGACCCCUUAUGGGUAAUUGUAAAUUAUUUGUAAAUAUUAAU